UCCCGGGUCGUCUAACGGCAGGACAGCAGACUCUGAAUCUGCUAAUUUUGGUUCGAAUCCAAACCCGGGAACAA
rnacentral:tRNA from 3 species